rnacentral:siRNA from 1 species
GGAAUGUUUUCUGGCUCGAGG